rnacentral:rRNA from 1 species
UACAGAGGGGGCAAGCGUUGUUCGGACUUACUGGGCGUAACGGGCGCGUAGGCGGCCUUCUAAGUCGAACGUGAAAUCCCCGGGCUCAACCCGGGAACUGCGUCCGAUACUGGAAGGCUUGAAUCCGGGAGAGGGAUGUGGAAUUCCAGGUGUAGCGGUGAAAUGCGUAGAUAUCUGGAGGAACACCGGUGGCGAAGGCGACAUCCUGGACCGGUAUUGACGCUGAGGCGCGAAAGCCAGGGGAGCAAACGGG